rnacentral:rRNA from 1 species
UACGGAGGGUGCAAGCGUUAUCCGGAUUCACUGGGUUUAAAGGGUGCGUAGGUGGCAGGUAAGUCAGUGGUGAAAUCUCCGGGCUUAACCCGGAAACUGCCAUUGAUACUAUUUGUCUUGAAUACUGUGGAGGUCAGCGGAAUAUGUCAUGUAGCGGUGAAAUGCUUAGAUAUGACAUAGAACACCAAUUGCGAAGGCAGCUGGCUACACAAAUAUUGACACUGAGGCACGAAAGCGUGGGAGUCAA